CACACACAUCCCGAAGAUGGAUCUCUCCGUUCGUUCCGGCUCUCCUCUGUUCUCCCUCGUCGUUCUGCUGAGCAUUGAGGAAGCUCAUUUUGCCAGAGGUGAAGAUAUUUCCUCGUUCUCUCAGCCUCCCGUUCUCAUGGUAACGUCACUGAUCGAUCAGAGCAGCGCGCGCUUCAUUACGGAGCAUCGGCAGAACUUCUCAUAUUUGUAAACAACAUGUGCUUUUUAAAGGAUUUCAAAUCAUUUUCUCUUUGAUAUUCAGGGUAGACUUCAGCAUAGACUCAGACUUUUCUCCUGAUAAAAGGAUGCUAGUGGUCUGAGACCUCAGCAAUAUGCUCUGAUUGAUGCCUGCAGAUGACUAUAACUGGGAGCUAUUAGCUGGAAAACGCAAUGGGAUCACAGCAUGAAGCCUUGUUUGCGGUUUGAGAAAGAUGCUGAUUGUACCUGCUGUGUUGAUUGUAUCUUAAAAUGGUUUGCAUCAUUCGAAUAACAAGAAUCUCAGCUUUCCAAGGAGUUGUUGUAUGUCACAAAGUUAACCCUCAAAAACACGCAGUGUACUGCGGGCAGAACAGUGGAACACUAACAGGUUAACUGCCCCCUCCGUCCGCGUGAAUAGAACGCUCUCUCCGCUCUCAUCCAUCCUGUGAUACGGAGGCCGUCGAAGGAAAUGAGCUCUCGUUCAUCAUUCCUCCCUCACUUCCAACUCACACAAACAAACAAACAAAUAAACACAUAAACAGCCCAUUACCGCCAGUCUCAGGCCUCAGCGAGCUCACGUACGGCCUGGGAAACGCUGGGAAUGAUGAUGUUUUUUUCUCCAUACAAACAUGUCUUUUUUUUCUGAAGGAGUUCAGGCUGGUUUUUGUGGUGAAUCUGUUGAGCGCUGUAUACGGCUCAGUGCUCGGUCUGACAGGCGUCUCAGCACAGCUGUAUUCUGCAUGCGUGUAUGUCUGUGUGUGUGUGUGUGGGCUGUACACAUGCUUUAACACUUGUUUGCUGUUCUCGUCUCAUCUCAGGGCCUCACCUGUGCCAGGUAAACAUCUGCUGCCGGCUCCCAGCAGGCAUUGCUCUGGGUGAGGGUGUGGCAUGCUCGUCUUGUGUGGCGGUGCUGCAGGUGGGCUCCGGCGGCUCGAGGGACUGAUAGAGUUAUUAACAGGUGAUGUUCUGGACAGAGUCCAUCUGACCCCACAGAGCCUUAAAUACAUCACUGUCCAACAGGGACCUCCAGAGACGAUGCCGAGCUUUAUCCGAGAGCUCUGGGUCGCCAGAAAUCGUCACCUAAUGGCUUUGACGGGGGACACACACUCGCCGCGUCUGUGUUUCUUUUGUCUUCAUUCAGAUUGAAAUGGACCGCUUGCAGCUCACGUGUAUCCAUCUUCCAGAACCCCCAGCUGUUCUGGUGUCUGCGGCCCAGCUUCCACGCAUCGCUUUACAAAUUGUCUGUGAAUAGUGUGAAUACCCCCCCACCACCACCACCACACACACACACUACCCCAUUACCGCCAUGUCCUGACAAAUGGUCCAUGUUUCUCUGAACGUGUGCUUGUGUGUUUACUGAUUUCAUCCACUGUUCGGUUGACAUCAAAACAGAAAUAUCAAAAAGCCUGAUUUUAGAUUCAGAAUAUUGAAAGGGAUGAAUCUUUGCAAUAUUCUUUUUCAUACUAUGAGAAUUUAUGAUGACUAUCCUUUGUCUGUCCUUUUAAAUGUCCUCAGAUGAUUGCAUCAGACUGAGCUCAGGUCACUGAUUCUGUAUUAGGUGUUAUAUUUCACAGAUGUCCAUUGUUUCAUGUGUCAUCAGCCCUGCUGGUUUGUAAGAACUGCAUCUUUUAUUAAAAAAAAAAGAGUUUGAUGGAAUGGAAAGGAAACAGAUUAUAGAAA
ensembl:lncRNA